CGGCAAAUCCUCCAUCACGGUCAUCUCCGAGGAGAUCUCGGGCAACAACGGCUACGUGGAGCUCGCCUUCCGUGCCAAGAAGCUGGACGACAAGGACCUCUUCAGCAAGUCG